GUGGCAGUAAUGCACUAGAGCGCCAUUCAGUAGAAGAAAGAAGAAGCAGCGGUUUUAGCUCAGCUGGGGCAUUAAACGCUCUUCCGUUUCACUCCAUGAAGGGCACAGUGAGGUGAAAACUGCAGCUUCAUGUCCUUGUGAGUUUAUAUUACCGUUUGCCAUAAAGGAGAAACGGACCGAGAUUGAACGGACGCACAUGAAAUAAAGACCUGUCUGGACCAAGUCAGAAAAUGAUGCUAUUUCCAUCCCCCUGCAAAAGACAAAGCUGUCUGGUGUUCUCAGUGCAGUGUUAUCUGUAAAAACAGUGAUCGAGUUGGUGUUUAUUUGCAGCAGAUCCAUGGAGUACCUCAAGGUAUUUGUUUAAUUGGCUGUUUUGUUUUUUGGACUCUCAAUUUCAAAAGGAAAUUUUGAAGGAAAAAAAAUA